CAAAACAUUUUGCUGAAUAAAAUGAAGAGGGAAAUCUACGCUUAAAUUCACAAAUUAGUGUUCACUCUCCAACUGUGAUCUGAAUUAUUGUCUAAAUAAUGUUGAUGAAACACCUAUUUCAAGAGCUGGCAGGAUUUCUCCUUUAUUUUGUCAGUGAGUAUUUCAGUGUUUUUAGCAGAAGAUUAAUGCAUCUAGUAUCUGUCAAUAGAAGCAAAUUGUCUAAUGAUAUGCUUGCCAUCUCCACAUGGGAAACAAAAUGUUCCUUUCUCAACUGCAGAUCUUAGGGGCUGUGUUUGUAUGAUAAACAGGACAUUAGUGUAAUUGCCAAUUUUGCUGCUGUGCCAUAGAAAAUGGCUGGAUUUCCAAUAUAGUUGGGAGUUGAAAUAUUUAUCUGGGGAAGCCAAGUGCAGCCUGCUUGCACGAGCCAGACACAGCAGACUACCAGCAGUGAAGUUGGUGUUUGAAUCAGAAGUGUCUGGGAUGCACAUCUUGGAAUGCUCCCCACUUCUGAGAGCUGGUUCAAGUGCAGAAAGGAUCAGUUCCCUGUACUGGCUACAUGCUGAAACCUGGGCAUCCAGGACCUGGAUCAAUUGCUUGGCAGCAUUUUUUUUUUUUUUAUGUCAGGCUUGCUUAUUGACAGGAAAUUACUUGGAAAAAUCUCUGUGAAACUUAGGAUAAAUACUGGCAGUAUUACUACAUGUGCUGCUUCUGACUGGAUCAGACUUUGCACUGUGGCAACCUAAAACUGUGCCUUGGGAUGGAGCAGCAUCCCUAGUGGUACUGGUGUGGAAUGGAAUCUACAGAUUUUUCAGGCUUAGACAGAAAUACGUAACACAGAUGGAAUUUCCCACUCUCUUUCAAGGGAUGGGGAUAAGAACAAGAGUUAAAAAUUGAUGUCUCUGUUGUCUCAGUGGAUGUAAAGUGUUGCUCCCAGCAGCUCCUUACAAACCAAGUGAUUGUGCAAAGGGCUGUAUGGAAACACACAUGAACAAGCCUGAAUGUUUCCUGGAAAGCAAGGAGAAACCCAGAGUGCAGUGUUCCAGCGGCAGCUGCCUGGAUCCUCUCAGCUGGGAAAGCAGGGAAAGCACCACUGGUACCUUCUGGUACUCUUAUCUUCACCUCAAGGAAGAUCUGGUCUCUUUUGAGAAGGGGAGAGAAAUAUAUUCCCUGCUUCCCAGCUGGAGGAAACAACUGUCUCUCUGGAACAAAUCAGUGGUUCAAGGCUGAAAUUGCUUGAAGAUGAUGGCUAAUACUUUUUUAACAUCCUCUGGUUUGGUGCUCUUAUACUUAAAAACAAGAGGGUCACACUGAAAAUAAACCAGGCUCCACAUCUGGUUUUUCCUUCGAAAAACUCCUCUCAUGGUUAUGUGAGUGAACUGCCCACCAUUAACCAUUGCUGACUUUAUUUAUGUGCUCAGCUGAGUGUGAAGUGACAGUCUCUAUUUUCUGCUCUCCCUCAGUGAAUAAGCUGCUUACAUCUGGAGCUGGGCUCUGUUGCUACAGAAGAUGCUUCCUGCAUAUUUUCCUCCACAGAAAAUUGAUGCUACAUAAGCCAGUGGCUCUGGGCUGCUCCUUCUUGCAAACAAGGUGCAGAGGGAGGGGUGAAGUGCAACUUUUCAGAGUCUGGGGUAAAUUUUGUGCAAAGUUUAAAUACAUUUAGCAAAGAACCUAUCUUGUGGACUGAGAAUGAUUGCUGAAUGCUUUGGGCACUUUGACCUCUGCCACUGUGGAGUCAGAGUAGAGGACAUGGCAUUGGUAAUUCAGAAUAUUAGAGUACUG
rnacentral:lncRNA from 12 species